rnacentral:rRNA from 1 species
UUCAGAUUGCAGGCUGCAACCCGCCUGCAUGAAGUCGGAAUUGCUAGUAAUCGCGGAUCAGCAUGCCGCGGUGAAUACGUUCCCGGGCCUUGUACACACCGCCCGUCACACCAUGGGAGCCGGUAAUACCCGAAGUCAGUAGUCCAACCUCGUGAGGACGCUGCCGAAGGUAGGAUUGGCGACUGGGGUGAAGUCGUAACAAGGUACC